rnacentral:rRNA from 1 species
UACAGAGGUCUCAAGCGUUGUUCGGAUUCAUUGGGCGUAAAGGGUGUGUAGGUGGCGCGCUAAGUCGGGUGUGAAAUUUCGGAGCUUAACUCCGAAACUGCAUUCGAUACUGGCGUGCUUGAGGACUGGAGAGGAGACUGGAAUUCAUGGUGUAGCAGUGAAAUGCGUAGAGAUCAUGAGGAAGACCAGUGGCGAAGGCGGGUCUCUGGACAGUUUCUGACACUGAUGCGCGACAGCGUGGGGAGCAAACAGG